rnacentral:rRNA from 1 species
UACGGAGGAUGCGAGCGUUAUCCGGAUUUAUUGGGUUUAAAGGGAGCGUAGGCGGACUUUUAAGUGAGAUGUGAAAUACUCGGGCUCAACUUGAGUGCUGCAUUUCAAACUGGAAGUCUAGAGUGCAGGAGAGGAGAAUGGAAUUCCUAGUGUAGCGGUGAAAUGCGUAGAGAUUAGGAAGAACACCAGUGGCGAAGGCGGUUCUCUGGACUGUAACUGACGCUGAGGCUCGAAAGCGUGGGGAGCAAACAGG